AUGUAUUUUCGGAAGGAAUGAAAGUUGAUCUUUUCACUCCGAGGAGGGUUAACUUUCUUACAUUUACACUGGUAACCAUAGCAACCAAGGAAGAUGUAGUAAAUAAAAGGUUUCCUUGCCUUGUUGGGGGCAUUACAAUUAGGAAAUGAAAUUGACUGACUCAUAUUUUCCGUCAUUUCUUAUAAAAUAAUUAUUUCCACUGUUUCGAACCAUCUAAUAAUUCCGAUAUUUCGAAAAAUAAUUCCUAUAAUAAGUAUAAUUCCGAAAAAAUGUAUUAGAAUACUUAAAAAUUCCUUCUUGAUUAUCUCCUUCUCCAGUCGGAAAAUUAUACCGUUUCGUCAGGAAGAUAUGUAAAUACACAAAGUAAAAUUCGAAUUUACAAAACAAAGACCGUCCUCGCCUAAUAAAUAUGUGCAGAAAUAAUUUAAUAUUUUUAGGAAAAUUGUACCCUCACGGAAUUAAAUAAGCGACCGAUCUGAAAAUCUACAUAUGCAAAUUACCCAUCCGAAAUGUACUGGAAUCAGUCAAUUCAUUUGUGAAUGUUCGAUGCGAAAUUGCAAAAUACAUACACCGUGUUUCUCGUCCAAAAUGUACAGAAAUAUAAGUUUGAAAAAAUUCUGGUUGUAAGGAAUUAAUCCGAACAAUACGAAAUACCCCGUAAAGUAUGUGCUGGAACAAUUAAAUUAAUUGGGGAUUUAUGUAAUGAUAACCUCAGUCACAUCAGGAACUGGUUCACGCAAUGGGAAAUUACCGAAUUCUAUCACCAUCCUCGGGACUACAUAUCAUUUUUUUGGUGGAUUGAACUGCUCGUCCUCAUCAGGAACUUACUUACAACCAUGGAAUAAAACGUCUCCCCCCACCUGUAUAUUCAACUCCUAAUUUGUCUCCCAUCCGAACUGCACAACAAGAUUUCAUCACGACGGGACUCACGCCACCACCGCCAAAUUAUACAAAUCCUCCCGCCGCACCAAGUAACUCCUGCUCUAUUAUCAUUGGCUUACCUAGAAAUAAUGUCACUUCCUGAGAGUCGCUAUCCUUUUAAACUUUAAGAUAUGUGGAUAUGUAUAUCAGGAUGUGAAACUAUGUACACACAAUUUAUAUACAUAUCACACUUAUGGAUACAUAGGUUGAAACUAUUUGUAUGCAUAUACUUACAUAGUCGUUGACGUUGCAUUAUGUGCUAAAUGGCUUGUAUUCAUUAAAGUACAAUUUGGCUAGGGGACUGUCCAUGUAUUAUUUACGUCAUCAUUCUCGACAUGGGAGGAUAUGGAGAAUUUCCUAACAUCCCGUGUACGAAACAUCCCGUGUAACAUCCCGUAACAUCCCGGACGAGCCUAAGCCAUUAAAGUUAUAAUUCUGUAUAUAGAUAAAUCAGUGAUGCUUAGUUUAAAGAAGAUAUCUUGCUUUUACGCUAAGAGAAAUACUUCUUUAUUCAAUGGGAAAUGUUACAAUAUUCGAGUCAAAUGUCAAUUUAGAAUCGUUGAAUUCUAAGUAAUAAAUGCAGAUGAACUUUUGAGCUGCAGUUAACCAA